rnacentral:rRNA from 1 species
ACCACAUGGAUUGCCCUAGUAACGGCGAGUGAAGCGGCAACAGCUCAAAUUUGAAAUCUGGCCUCCUUCGGGUGGUCCGAGUUGUAAUUUGCAGAGGGUGCUUUGGCGUCGGCAGCGGUCUAAGUUCCUUGGAACAGGACAUCACAGAGGGUGAGAAUCCCGUACGUGGUCGCCUGCCUUCGCCGUGUAAAGCCCCUUCGACGAGUCGAGUUGUUUGGGAAUGCAGCUCUAAAUGGGAGGUAAAUUUCUUCUAAAGCUAAAUACUGGCCAGAGACCGAUAGCGCACAAGUAGAGUGAUCGAAAGAUGAAAAGCACUUUGGAAAGAGAGUCAAACAGCACGUGAAAUUGUUGAAAGGGAAGCGCUUGCCGCCAGACUUGCCCGUAGUUGCUCAUCGGAACUCUUUGCUCCGAGCACUCUUCUGCGGGCAGGCCAGCAUCAGUUUGGGCGACCGGAUAAAGGCCUCUGUCAUGUAUCUUCCUUCGGGAUGACCUUAUAGGGGAGGCGUAAUGCGGCCAGCCCGGACUGAGGUCCGCGCAUCUGCUAGGAUGCUGGCGUAAUGGCUGUAAGCGGCCCGUCUUGAAACACGGACCAAGGAGUCUAACAUCUAUGCGAGUGUUUGGGUGUCAAGCCCGGGCGCGUAAUGAAAGUGAACGGAGGUGGGAACCCUCUUCGGGGGGCGCACCAUCGACCGAUCCUGAUGUCUUCGGAUGGAUUUGAGUAAGAGCAUAGCUGUUGGGACCCGAAAGAUGGUGAACUAUGCUUGAAUAGGGUGAAGCCAGAGG